rnacentral:tRNA from 1 species
GGGCCGGUAGUUCAGCGGUAGAAUCAAAAGAUACACUAUCCGCUUCGCACCCGUAAGGUCGGGGGUUCAAUUCUCCUCCGGUCCA